UACAGAGGUCCCAAGCGUUGUUCGGAUUCAUUGGGCGUAAAGGGUGCGUAGGCGGCGCGGUAAGUGCCUUGUGAAAUCCCACGGCUCAACCGUGGAACUGCUUGGCAUACUGGUGGUCUUGAGCAACCUAGGGGCGAGCGGAACAAAUGGUGGAGCGGUGAAAUGCGUAGAUAUCAUUUGGAACGCCAAUGGUGAAAACAGCUCGCUGGGGGUUUGCUGACGCUGAGACACGAAAGCCAGGGGAGCAAACGGG
rnacentral:rRNA from 1 species